rnacentral:rRNA from 1 species
GGGUUGUGAGGUUAAGCGACUAAGCGUACACGGUGGAUGCCCUGGCAGUCAGAGGCGAUGAAGGGCGUGCUAAUCUGCGAUAAGCGCCGGUAAGGUGAUAUGAACCGUUAUAACCGGCGAUACCCGAAUGGGGAAACCCAGUGUGACUUGUCACACUAUCAUUAACUGAAUCCAUAGGUUAAUGAGGCGAACCGGGGGAACUGAAACAUCUAAGUACCCCGAGGAAAAGAAAUCAACCGAGAUUCCCCCAGUAGCGGCGAGCGAACGGGGAGGAGCCCAGAGCCUGAAUCAGCAUGUGUGUUAGUGGAAGCGUCUGGAAAGGCGCGCGAUACAGGGUGACAGCCCCGUACACAAAAGCGCAUGUGCUGUGAGCUCGAUGAGUAGGGCGGGACACGUGGUAUCCUGUCUGAAUAUGGGGGGACCAUCCUCCAAGGCUAAAUACUCCUGACUGACCGAUAGUGAACCAGUACCGUGAGGGAAAGGCGAAAAGAACCCCGGCGAGGGGAGUGAAAAAGAACCUGAAACCGUGUACGUACAAGCAGUGGGAGCCCCACCACUAAGCCAGUGGUGAACUCCACAUACGCAUCCUUUGCUGAGGAUACGGUUAACGGAGCGAAAGCGACGUUCAACCGCAAAAGAAGCAGAGGGGGCUUAGUGGUGGGGUGACUGCGUACCUUUUGUAUAAUGGGUCAGCGACUUAUAUUCUGUAGCAAGGUUAACCGAAUAGGGGAGCCGGAGGGAAACCGAGUCUUAACCGGGCGUUAAGUUGCAGGGUAUAGACCCGAAACCCGGUGAUCUAGCCAUGGGCAGGUUGAAGGUUGGGUAACACUAACUGGAGGACCGAACCGACUAAUGUUGAAAAAUUAGCGGAUGACCUGUGGCUGGGGGUGAAAGGCCAAUCAAACCGGGAGAUAGCUGGUUCUCCCCGAAAGCUAUUUAGGUAGCGCCUCGUGAAUUCAUCUCCGGGGGUAGAGCACUGUUUCGGCUAGGGGGCCAUCCCGGCUUACCAACCCGAUGCAAACUGCGAAUACCGGAGAAUGUUAUCACGGGAGACACACGGCGGGUGCUAACGUCCGUCGUGAAGAGGGAAACAACCCAGACCGCCAGCUAAGGUCCCAAAGUCAUGGUUAAGUGGGAAACGAUGUGGGAAGGCCCAGACAGCCAGGAUGUUGGCUUAGAAGCAGCCAUCAUUUAAAGAAAGCGUAAUAGCUCACUGGUCGAGUCGGCCUGCGCGGAAGAUGUAACGGGGCUAAACCAUGCACCGAAGCUGCGGCAGCGACACUCAGGUGUUGUUGGGUAGGGGAGCGUUCUGUAAGCCUGCGAAGGUGGCCUGUGAGGGUUGCUGGAGGUAUCAGAAGUGCGAAUGCUGACAUAAGUAACGAUAAUGCGGGUGAAAAACCCGCACGCCGGAAGACCAAGGGUUCCUGUCCAACGUUAAUCGGGGCAGGGUGAGUCGACCCCUAAGGCGAGGCCGAAAGGCGUAGUCGAUGGGAAACGGGUUAAUAUUCCCGUACUUGGUGUUACUGCGAAGGGGGGACGGAGAAGGCUAUGUUGGCCGGGCGACGGUUGUCCCGGUUUAAGCGUGUAGGUGUGUGUUCCAGGUAAAUCCGGUUCACUUUAACACUGAGGCGUGACGACGAGGCACUACGGUGCUGAAGCAACAAAUGCCCUGCUUCCAGGAAAAGCCUCUAAGCAUCAGGUAACAUCAAAUCGUACCCCAAACCGACACAGGUGGUCAGGUAGAGAAUACCAAGGCGCUUGAGAGAACUCGGGUGAAGGAACUAGGCAAAAUGGUGCCGUAACUUCGGGAGAAGGCACGCUGACACGUAGGUGAAGUGAUUUACUCACGGAGCUGAAGUCAGUCGAAGAUACCAGCUGGCUGCAACUGUUUAUUAAAAACACAGCACUGUGCAAACACGAAAGUGGACGUAUACGGUGUGACGCCUGCCCGGUGCCGGAAGGUUAAUUGAUGGGGUCAGCGCAAGCGAAGCUCCUGAUCGAAGCCCCGGUAAACGGCGGCCGUAACUAUAACGGUCCUAAGGUAGCGAAAUUCCUUGUCGGGUAAGUUCCGACCUGCACGAAUGGCGUAAUGAUGGCCAGGCUGUCUCCACCCGAGACUCAGUGAAAUUGAACUCGCUGUGAAGAUGCAGUGUACCCGCGGCAAGACGGAAAGACCCCGUGAACCUUUACUAUAGCUUGACACUGAACAUUGAGCCUUGAUGUGUAGGAUAGGUGGGAGGCUUUGAAGCGUGGACGCCAGUCUGCGUGGAGCCGACCUUGAAAUACCACCCUUUAAUGUUUGAUGUUCUAACGUGGACCCGUAAUCCGGGUUGCGGACAGUGUCUGGUGGGUAGUUUGACUGGGGCGGUCUCCUCCUAAAGAGUAACGGAGGAGCACGAAGGUUGGCUAAUCCUGGUCGGACAUCAGGAGGUUAGUGCAAUGGCAUAAGCCAGCUUGACUGCGAGCGUGACGGCGCGAGCAGGUGCGAAAGCAGGUCAUAGUGAUCCGGUGGUUCUGAAUGGAAGGGCCAUCGCUCAACGGAUAAAAGGUACUCCGGGGAUAACAGGCUGAUACCGCCCAAGAGUUCAUAUCGACGGCGGUGUUUGGCACCUCGAUGUCGGCUCAUCACAUCCUGGGGCUGAAGUAGGUCCCAAGGGUAUGGCUGUUCGCCAUUUAAAGUGGUACGCGAGCUGGGUUUAGAACGUCGUGAGACAGUUCGGUCCCUAUCUGCCGUGGGCGCUGGAGAACUGAGGGGGGCUGCUCCUAGUACGAGAGGACCGGAGUGGACGCAUCACUGGUGUUCGGGUUGUCAUGCCAAUGGCACUGCCCGGUAGCUAAAUGCGGAAGAGAUAAGUGCUGAAAGCAUCUAAGCACGAAACUUGCCCCGAGAUGAGUUCUCCCUGAGACUUUAAGUCUCCUGAAGGAACGUUGAAGACGACGACGUUGAUAGGCCGGGUGUGUAAGCGCAGCGAUGCGUUGAGCUAACCGGUACUAAUGAACCGUGAGGCUUAACCUUACAACGCCGAAG